rnacentral:lncRNA from 1 species
GAAAAUUGCAUAAACGGGGGAAGCAACAAAGUAUAAAUAGAUAUCAUGAUAAGAAAACAUAUAAGACAUUAAUAAUCUGCUAGCAAUGGGAAGACAACCAUAACAACAUGAACUGAAUUAAUCAGUGCGCACGACUAGUUAAAAACAAACAUCCUUUGACAAGAAGUUUCUAAUUAAAUCAUGGCUGCGUCUGGGUAGCAUUAUUAUGAGAAUGAAGGUGGAUGUGCUGCUACUUCCCACUCCCCUUGAUGAGCAACAAGCACCUGCAUUGAGUAAUGCAAGAGUGAGAUGAAACAUCUCAGCAAGCUAAUUGUUCUGACGAGAUAUUUAAACCACAAAUUGAAUUCAUCAACAUUUUAAAAGAGUCACAAUUAAAAAUCAGAAAUGCUUGUAGAUAUAGAACUCAGUAGUCCCACUAUAACCAAUACCAUCUCAUUUCCUCGAACAACCACAAUAGGUUCUAUAACACUUCCCUGCGUCAACAGUACCUGCAAAUAUCACUUCAAUGUAUGCAUAGGAAUGCAAUGUGUAGGUACUCUAUCUUCAUACCUCUGGGGGUAUAAAACCACAUCAUCUGCAAAUAUCACUUCAAUGAAUGCAUAUGAAUGCAAUGCAUAUGUCCUCUGCCUUCAUACCUCUAAGGGUAUGAAGCCGCAUCGUACCCCUUCUCGGGCAACGUACGAUGCUAAGUUGUACCGGUACGGUCGGACCAUAGGUCACGACAAAACUUCAUAUGCAAAUGAGUCAUGCAAUGUAUAUAGCAUGCUACAUUUAUCAAUAAACUUCACUUCCUUCAGAUACAACACAAACCUCAAAUAAUACUUCAUUUACCUUCAGAUACAAUACCAACCUCAAAUAAUACUUCAUUUACCUUCAGGGGUGUGAAUUAAUCUCAUGAGUCAUACUCAAAUCAUAAUCAUCAUCAAUAUAUGAUUGAGCAUCAGUACAAUGCAAGCAAGUAAAGCAUCACCAUAGAGUCCAAUUAUGAAAGAAUCUGAUACUUCUGAAUAUUAGAGUGUAGGCGAUAGAAAUAACAGGUCAGAACGGAAGCAACCACCGCUACAUUCACUUGCCUUCAUUGAAGAAGAAGAAAUGUACUAGACAUGAUCUGGAGUGUAGCCACCUGCUAGUGGGCAUAAAACUUAGUACAAAUAUUUCACAAACAUUUGCCAUCAAUCAACAAAACACUCCUACACUUGAAACCAAGACCCAGUGGAAAGACUCCCACCCUGAACCACAUGCCAUACAGCAGCAACGCUGUUUGUUAAUUUUGUAUCUUUAAAAUUAAAACAGCGGUGAUAUCAAACAAAUACUCUAGGAGUAUCUACACAAAAUACUCUACAACUUCAGUAUUCAAUAGAUAAUUAAAUUCUGCCAUCUACAAGUUCUAAAACAUCUGAUAAGAUAACUGACUGAAUCUGUUUUAGACAGCAGUAUGGUUAACUUUAAAAUUCGAUAUCUCCAAAACUGCUGAACCAAAAAUUAUGACAUUCUGCUGGAAGUAAGAACUUUUAUCCCUCUACAAAAGUCUCCAUAGUUGGAAGAGCCAAUUCGGCCAUUUACUAGAUGAAACCCACCAGUGAACAGACCCACUCAUUUUUGUCAGGUAAACAGGAACAGCCACAGUAAAACAAACAUAACUGGAGUUUCACAAAUCAUAUGAAUGCACUCUUUAACAAUCUGGAAAGCUUAUAAAAUUAUCUACAACUUCUUUUACCAACCCACAGUUUAAUUCUGUUGAUAAAAUUGCCUAAAUCUUAAGAGAACAGAUUCUGCACAGAAUUAUGAGACUGAAAAACUGCUAUAGUAAAACUGCAAUAACUUUCUGGUCGGAUGUCCGAUUGAGGUGUUCUUCGCGGCCACGGAAAGAUAUACAAAUUAUUUACGACUCAUACAUAGACUUUUUAUUUUUUUGAGGCCACUAAGACCACGGAAAACUGGCAUGAACAGAAACUGUCGAAUCUGCCAUUCUGCAGAAAACUAAAUUCGAGAUCAAAAUCUAACCCCACAUCAAAUCCAACCUCUAAUCCUUUAAUUCCCAUGAUCCACAACCUCCAAAAGCCUAUAAUUACAGGGAGGAACAAGGAUCUCAUCCAUACCUAGGGUUUCCCCAAGAAAUCUUCAAGAGGAGAUGGGGAAGAACAUCUCCUUGAUCCUCUCUUCCUCUUCAAUUCAACGUGCCCCUCCUUUUCUCGAUCCUUGCUGCGUAGGGGGAGAUCUUGGGGGAGGAAGCAAUGGAGGAUGGCUGCCAUAGGGGGAGGGGGCGUCCAGCCAAGGGGGAGAAAAAGGGGGUGGCGGCCAAGAGGGGGGGUGAAGGGAAAAAAAGGGGUGGCCACCUAGGGUUUUUGUGGGAGAAAGAAACGACGCCUCAGAUGACUUCUAUCUUUGCAUCCAAUGGCCCACAACCCUUUACCUCAUCCAUGCACCAGAGAUUAACUUUUGGUCAACAUUUUUUUGGGAUAUUACACUCUACCCCCUUAAAAAGAAUUCGACCUCGAAUUCGGCCACUCCAAGCAAAACACCCAAGGUACCCCAUAUAGCACCACAAUUCAAAACAUGGGUCCAUUAUUGGUCUUAAUUAACACAAG